GGAGAUAUAGUUCAGUGGUAGAGUGCUUGCCUAGCAUGCAUGAGACCUUGGGUUCAAUUCCCAGUACCACCA
rnacentral:tRNA from 1 species